GCAAUAGCUGAGUGGUAAAGCACUUGCCUAGCAUGUGUGAGGCCCUAGGGUUCCAACCCCUGCAGUGCA
rnacentral:tRNA from 1 species